rnacentral:rRNA from 1 species
GAUGAACGCUGGCGGCAUGCCUUAUACAUGCAAGUCGUGCGAGAAGUUACCUUCGGGGUACACGAGUGGCGAACGGGUGAGUAACACGUGGGUGAUCUGCCCUGCACUUCGGGAUAAGCCUGGGAAACUGGGUCUAAUACCGGAUAGGACUCCGGACUGCAUGGUCUGGUGUGGCAAGUUGUUCGGAAAGGGAUGGAGUCGCGGCCUAUCAGCUUGUUGGUGAGGUAACGGCUCACCAAGGCGACGACGGGUAGCCGGCCUGAGAGGGCGACCGGCCACACUGGGACUGAGACACGGCCCAGACUCCUACGGGAGGCAGCAGUGGGGAAUAUUGCACAAUGGGCGCAAGCCUGACGCAGCGACGCCGCGUGAGGGAUGAAGGUCUUCGGAUUGUAAACCUCUUUCAGUAGGGACGAAGCGAAAGUGACGGUACCUAAAGAAGAAGCACCGGCUAACUACGUGCCAGCCGCCGCAGUAA